AUUUGGAACAUAACCUUCAAUGUCAGCCAGGUGUAAAACAGAGCUGGAAUAUCUACCUGGUCUUCAUCCAGGCUGGGAUAGAGGUGAGAGGUGUGGGCUGUCCCUUCUUUGGGGUGUUGCUACCAAAGCCUAAGGAGCAUUUGAAUACCCUGCUUAGAGUGGUGUGAGGGCAGGCUGAGGCUUCUGCACACACCACAGCCUGCACGGGAGCGAUCUGCUUUGGUGGUUCAAACGUAACUCACUGCUCAGCUGCGGGAGCUGUAAGGAGCAGCGUGAACCGACGCAGGGCAGAGGCAGCCACCUCUGGGAGAGGUGCCAGGAAACAAAAGCAGCAUCACCGAGGCAGGGAUGUGAUGAAUGCUUGCAAGGAUGGACAUCACCCGUGGCCCCAUGGAGAGCUGAAGGAGGCAGAAUGGGAUUAUACACCUUGGAAUCCAGAGUUUUCCACCAUCAGCUGAGUCCUGGGAUAUUUCUGUCUGCUCCUGUGGGUUUCUGCAGGAGUAAUGCUUACU